UACGGGGGGGGUAAGCGUUGUUCGGAAUUACUGGGCGUAAAGGGCUCGUAGGCGGCCAACUAAGUCAUACGUGAAAUCCCUCAGCUUAACUGGGGAACUGCGUGUGAUACUGGAUGGCUUGGAUUUGGGAGAGGGAUGCGGAAUUCCAGGUGUAGCGGUGAAAUGCGUAGAUAUCGGGAGGAACACCGGUGGCGAAGGCGGCGAUCUGGGUAGAUACUGACGCUGAGGUGCGAAAGCGUGGGGAGCAAACAGG
rnacentral:rRNA from 1 species